rnacentral:rRNA from 1 species
GAUCAUGGCUCAGGAUGAACGAUAGCUACAGGCUUAACACAUGCAAGUCGAGGGGCAGCAUGGUCUUAGCUUGCUAAGGCCGAUGGCGACCGGCGCACGGGUGAGUAACACGUAUCCAACCUGCCGUCUACUCUUGGACAGCCUUCUGAAAGGAAGACUUAAUACAAGAUGGCAUCAUGAGUUCACAUGUUCACAUGAUUAAAGGGUAUUCCGGUAGACGAUGGGG